AAUGUUCAUCCCUUGACGGUAUCUAACCAGAAAGCCACGGCUAACUACGUGCCAGCAGCCGCGGUAAUACGUAGGUGGCAAGCGUUGUCCGGAUUUAUUGGGCGUAAAGCGAGCGCAGGCGGUUUCUUAAGUCUGAUGUGAAAGCCCCCGGCUCAACCGGGGAGGGUCAUUGGAAACUGGGAAACUUGAGUGCAGAAGAGGAGAGUGGAAUUCCAUGUGUAGCGGUGAAAUGCGUAGAUAUAUGGAGGAACACCAGUGGCGAAGGCGGCUCUCUGGUCUGUAACUGACGCUGAGGCUCGAAAGCGUGGGGAGCAAACAGGAUUAGAUACCCUGGUAGUCCACGCCGUAAACGAUGAGUGCUAAGUGUUGGAGGUUGUGCCCUUGAGGCGUGGCUUCCGGAGCUAACGCGUUAAGUCGACCGCCUGGGGAGUACGGCCGCAAGGUU
rnacentral:rRNA from 1 species